CCUACGGGAGGCAGCAGUGAGGAAUAUUGGUCAAUGGGCGCGAGCCUGAACCAGCCAAGCCGCGUGAAGGAUGACUGCCCUACGGGUUGUAAACUUCUUUUAUAAGGGAAUAAAGUGUGGCACGUGUGCCUUUUGGUAUGUACUUUAUGAAUAAGGAUCGGCUAACUACGUUCCAGCAGCCGCGGUAAUACGGAGGAUCCGAUCGUUAUCCGGAAUUAUUGGGUUGAAAGGGAGAGUAGGUGGGUUGUUAAGUGGGUUGUGAAAGCUUUUGGCUCAACCGAAAAAUUGCAAUACAUACUGGCUAGCUAGAGUACAGGAGAGGAAGGCGGAAUUCGUAGUGUAGCGGUGAAAUGCUUAGAUAUGACGAAGAACUCCGAUGGCGAAGGCAGCUUACUGGACUGCCACUGACACUGAUGCUCGAAAGUGUGGGUAGCAAACAGGAUUAGAUACCCUUGUAGUC
rnacentral:rRNA from 1 species